rnacentral:rRNA from 1 species
CGGACGGGUGAGUAACGCGUGAGAAUCUACCUUCAGGAUGGGGACAACCGUUGGAAACGACGGCUAAUCCCCAAUAGGCCGCAAGGUGAAACGGGAUUCCGCCUGGAGAGGAGCUCGCGUCCGAUUAGUUAGUUGGUGAGGUAAGAGCUUACCAAGGCAGCGAUCGGUAGCUGGUCUGAGAGGAUGAGCAGCCACACUGGGACUGAGACACGGCCCAGACUCCUACGGGAGGCAGCAGUGGGGAAUUUUCCGCAAUGGGCGCAAGCCUGACGGAGCAACGCCGCGUGUGGGAAGAAGGCUCUUGGGCUGUCAACCACUUUUCUCAGGGAAGAAGCACUGACGGUACCUGAGGAAUCAGCCUCGGCUAACUCCGUGCCAGCAGCCGCGGUAAUACGGAGGAGGCAAGCGUUAUCCGGAAUUAUUGGGCGUAAAGCGUCCGCAGGGGGCACAUCAAGUCUGCUGUUAAAGGCUGGAGCUUAACUCCGGUAGAGCAGUGGAAACUGGUGUGCUAGAGGGCGACAGGGGUAGAGGGAAUUCCCAGUGUAGCGGUGAAAUGCGUAGAGAUUGGGAAGAACACCGGUGGCGAAAGCGCUCUACUGGGUCGCACCUGACCCUCAGGACGAAAGCUAAAAGGUAGCGAAAGGGAUUAGAUACCCCUGUAGUC